rnacentral:rRNA from 1 species
CCUACGGGUGGCAUCAGUGAGGAAUAUUGGUCAAUGGACGAGAGUCUGAACCAGCCAAGUAGCGUGAAGGAUGACUGCCCUAUGGGUUGUAAACUUCUUUUAUAUGGGAAUAAAACGUUCCACGUGUGGGAUUUUGUAUGUACCAUAUGAAUAAGGAUCGGCUAACUCCGUGCCAGCAGCCGCGGUAAUACGGAGGAUCCGAGCGUUAUCCGGAUUUAUUGGGUUUAAAGGGAGCGUAGGUGGAUUGUUAAGUCAGUUGUGAAAGUUUGCGGCUCAACCGUAAAAUUGCAGUUGAAACUGGCAGUCUUGAGUACAGUAGAGGUGGGCGGAAUUCGUGGUGUAGCGGUGAAAUGCUUAGAUAUCACGAAGAACUCCGAUUGCGAAGGCAGUUCACUGGACUGCAACUGACACUGAGGCUCGAAAGUGUGGGUAUCAAACAGGAUUAGAUACCCUAGUAGUC